rnacentral:rRNA from 1 species
GACGAACGCUGGCGGCAUGCCUAAUACAUGCAAGUCGAGCGAAUGAUGAAGAAGCUUGCUUCUUCUGAUUUAGCGGCGGACGGGUGAGUAACACGUGGGCAACCUGCCCUGUAGAUUGGGAUAACUCCGGGAAACCGGGGCUAAUACCGAAUAAUCCAUUUCCUCUCAUGGGGAAAUGUUAAAAGACGGUCUUUCGCUGUCACUACAGGAUGGGCCCGCGGCGCAUUAGCUAGUUGGUGAGGUAACGGCUCACCAAGGCGACGAUGCGUAGCCGACCUGAGAGGGUGAUCGGCCACACUGGGACUGAGACACGGCCCAGACUCCUACGGGAGGCAGCAGUAGGGAAUCUUCCACAAUGGACGAAAGUCUGAUGGAGCAAUGCCGCGUGAGUGAAGUAAGGUUUUC